rnacentral:rRNA from 1 species
GUGGGGAAUAUUGGACAAUGGGGGGAACCCUGAUCCAGCCAUACCGCGUGUGUGAAGAAGGCCUUUUGGUUGUAAAGCACUUUAAGCGAGGAGGAGGCUACCGAGAUUAAUACUCUUGGAUAGUGGACGUUACUCGCAGAAUAAGCACCGGCUAACUCUGUGCCAGCAGCCGCGGUAAUACAGAGGGUGCAAGCGUUAAUCGGAUUUACUGGGCGUAAAGCGCGCGUAGGUGGCCAAUUAAGUCAAAUGUGAAAUCCCCGAGCUUAACUUGGGAAUUGCAUUCGAUACUGGUUGGCUAGAGUAUGGGAGAGGAUGGUAGAAUUCCAGGUGUAGCGGUGAAAUGCGUAGAGAUCUGGAGGAAUACCGAUGGCGAAGGCAGCCAUCUGGCCUAAUACUGACACUGAGGUGCGAAAGCAUGGGGAGCAAACAGGAUUAGAUACCCCGGUAGUCC